UACGAAGGGUGCAAGCGUUACUCGGAAUUACUGGGCGUAAAGCGUGCGUAGGCGGUUUGUUAAGUCUGUCGUGAAAGCCCCGGGCUCAACCUGGGAAUGGCGAUGGAUACUGGCGAGCUAGAGUACGGUAGAGGAGAGUGGAAUUCCCGGUGUAGCAGUGAAAUGCGUAGAGAUCGGGAGGAACAUCAGUUGCGAAGGCGGCUCUCUGGACCAGUACUGACGCGAGGCACGAAAGCGUGGGGAGCAAACAGG
rnacentral:rRNA from 1 species